UAAAACACCUGUCCAAAGGUUGCUCACUAUAGAAGCUUAUAUGCCAAAAUCAUCGCAGACAAACAUGAUGACAUUAUGGCCAAGUUUGGUGCAAUUCUGGCACAGGGAAUCAUUGAUGCAGGAGGACGUAACAUGACCGUUUCCCUGCAGUCCCGCACGGGUCACAUGAACAUGGAGGCAGUGGUGGGAAUGCUGGUGU